UCGUGCAGCCGGGGCGUUAGCGGUGCCUUGUACCUACAAUCCGCUAUAGUAGGGGUGAUGUUACACGGAGGGCUUUUAUUUGUGGAGCUGCCUUUUGAAAGUGGCGUUGAUGUUUGGGUCUCACGCGACGGGAAUCUGUGAACCGUGUCAGGUCGGGAACGAAGCAGCACUAAGCAGAACCUUCCGGGUGCCGUGAGGGUGCCUGGGCUGAGUUAACUGCAAAAGUAACGUUCAUGGAGCGAGUUCGAAGUGUAACGCACGA
rfam:Clostridium nexile CAG:348 genomic scaffold, scf53